rnacentral:rRNA from 1 species
CCCUUAGAUGUCCUGGGCCGCGCGCGCGCUACACUGAGUGUCUGAGAUACGAGUCUGCCUGGUCCGGCAAGGUCUAGGUAAUCGCUAAAAGACACAUCAUGCUUGGGAUAGAUUAUUGCAAAUAUUAAUCUUGAACGAGGAAUUCCUAGUAAGCGCAAGUCAACAGCUUGCGUUGAUUACGUCCCUGCCCUUUGUACACACCGCCCGUCGCUACUACUGAUUGGAUGUUUAAGCGAGGUUCUCGAACUGCUAGCGACUUAGCUUCGGUGAGGUCGCAGUGUGGGAAGUGAACCUAACUUUGGUGUCUAGAGGAAGUAAAAGUCGUAACA